UCUCUCCUCUCUAUUUUCCUUAACUGAUUGCGUGUUUCCUCACUCUCUCAGUUUUCACUCCUCUCAGUGUUUAGUCUUCUUCUCUAGCCCCUCACGUGUGCUCUGAUACCAUAUGUUGCAGAUAGUAAGAGACUGUCAAAGAAGAUGUUUUUAUUAAGCUGUAGCCUUGGCUAUUAAUAGCCUUACACCGUGAUAAAGAAUGAAUAACAAAACCCACGAUUUUACAGGAAACCAAACGUGGUCAAACAAAGCAAAUUACGUGUCCCUCAAACAGAGGAGGAAUUAUUCAACAUGACUAAAAACAAUCCUAAGACUUAGGAACAAGCUGGAAUAUUUCAACAUUUUAUC
rnacentral:lncRNA from 1 species